CGACGUGAGGAACCUGCCUUUCAGAGGGGGACAACAGUUGGAAACGACUGCUAAUACCGCAUAACGCAUGGGUAUCGCAUGGUAUCUGUGCCAAAGAUUUAUCGCUGAGAGAUGGCCUCGCGUCUGAUUAGCUAGUUGGUGAGGUAACGGCCCACCAAGGCGACGAUCAGUAGCCGGACUGAGAGGUUGGCCGGCCACAUUGGGACUGAGAUACGGCCCAGACUCCUACGGAAGGCAGCAG
rnacentral:rRNA from 1 species